rnacentral:rRNA from 1 species
GCAAGUCGAACGGUAGGAAAUCUUCGGAUUUCUGAGAGUGGCGAACGGGUGAGUAACACGUAGAUGAUCUACCUUUUAGUUGGGGAUAGCCCAUGGAAACAUGGAGUAAUACCGAAUAAUCUCUUUGACCUUUAGGUUUUAGAGGAAAGAAGCGUUUGCUUCGCUGAAAGAUGAGUCUGCGCACUAUUAGCUAGUUGGUGGGGUAAGAGCCUACCAAGGCAACGAUAGUUAGCCGACCUGAGAGGGUGAUC